AUAAACAAAGCAGGGAACAGUUAACAACUGGGAGUUCUGGCUCCCAGGUAAACCCUAUUUUUGGAAAGACUGCUGCUUGCUUACAGCACAUCUGAGAGAGGUCAUAAAAUAAAAUAGGAGCUUUCUUGAUUUAGAAGCUGGUCAUCCCUUUUUUGAAAUGAACUAUUCCAUAUAGCCUAGCAGAGACCAAGGAGGAUGGCAUUACCUUUGCCAAGCUUAGGUAGACAUCUAACACCAAGAAAUCAUGCAAUAUUCUACAUGGAUGAAAAAUCUUCUACCGUGCUGUCUAUGGGGAAGAUACCCAGUGCUAAGAAGCUGAAGUUCUCAUCUCCACAGGACUGGAUUGAAACCACCACCCAGCUAACCUCAGCUGCUCACCAAACAGCACUGAAGCACUUCAAUUUUUGUCACUGCUGAUUUUGACAGGAUUAGGCCCAUGUUUCUAAAGGCGAAAGCUCUGCGCAACUUCCCAUUAGCAAUACCCUGAGGUACCCAUUCCUCGUUUUGUAAAACUUGAACUUCAAGUGAACCAUGAGAAAGCAGAUUAGCUCUAAGGAUUGCACUGAACUGACAAUACAUUUCAAAGGUUUAUUCCACCAGCAUUUGUAGCA